rnacentral:rRNA from 1 species
ACAGGGAUGCCCUAGUAACGGCGAGUGAAGCGGCAACAGCUCAAAUUUGAAAUCUGGCUCUUUCAGAGUCCGAGUUGUAAUUUGCAGAGGGCGCUUUGGCUUUGGCAGCGGUCCAAGUUCCUUGGAACAGGACGUCACAGAGGGUGAGAAUCCCGUACGUGGUCGCUAGCUAUUGCCGUGUAAAGCCCCUUCGACGAGUCGAGUUGUUUGGGAAUGCAGCUCUAAAUGGGAGGUAAAUUUCUUCUAAAGCUAAAUAUUGGCCAGAGACCGAUAGCGCACAAGUAGAGUGAUCGAAAGAUGAAAAGCACUUUGGAAAGAGAGUCAAACAGCACGUGAAAUUGUUGAAAGGGAAGCGCUUGCAGCCAGACUUGCUUGCAGUUGCUCAUCCGGGCUUUUGCCCGGUGCACUCUUCUGUAGGCAGGCCAGCAUCAGUUUGGGCGGUGGGAUAAAGGUCUCUGUCACGUACCUUCCUUCGGGUUGGCCUUAUAGGGGAGACGUCAUACCACCAGCCUGGACUGAGGUCCGCGCAUCUGCUAGGAUGCUGGCGUAAUGGCUGUAAGCGGCCCGUCUUGAAACACGGACCAAGGAGUCUAACAUCUAUGCGAGUGUUUGGGUGUCAAGCCCGAACGCGUAAUGAAAGUGAACGGAGGUGGGAACCCGCAAGGGUGCACCAUCGACCGAUCCUGAAGUUUACGGAAGGAUUUGAGUAAGAGCAUGGCUGUUGGGACCCGAAAGAUGGUGAACUAUGCUUGAAUAGGGUGAAGCCAGAGGAAACUCUGGUGGAGGCUCGCAGCGGUUCUGACGUGCAAAUCGAUCGUCAAAUUUGGGCAUAGGGCGAAAGACUAAUCGAACUAUCUAGUAGCUGGUUCCUGCC